UAUAUUCUUCCUCUGCUGUGCUGGGUAGAGUAUAGUGUUCAAAGACCGAGGAAGGAAGAAACGGUGAUGGAAGAGGCAGAGGAGGAGCAACGUCGUCGUUUAAAGCUCGAAGAGGCCCUUGAAAUCCACUCCCUCAGACGCAUCAUUAGUGCUUGCCUCAAAGGGCGCGAUAAAUCGUUGUGCAAUUAUUAAUUCUCUGGUUUGGAGGGAACAAAGCUUUUAUUUUUCACUUUUGAGAGGUCUUACAGGAAGCUUCCACCUGCCCAUAAGAUGGCAUCCUCAAGCAAGCGUCCUCGCUCGGAUCAACCUGGUCUGCCUCCUCGCAAGCCUAGCCGACCCUACUCCCGCCAAUUCCUCACCAAGCACAACGAGACUUAUUUUGCUACGGUGAGCAGUAGGAAGUUCAUCCUGGAGAGGCGAGUUGAAUUAGAGGAUGAUGAGGCCCCUGAGUUCCAGAAUGAGCUCACCAGGCGCCAUUGGGACAAGCUUGGCUCCUACCCCCUUCCGGCCAACAUUGCUGUGGUCAAAGAGUUUUAUGCCAAUGCCCUACGACCAGAGGAGGCUAUUGUUCCCUAUACCAGCUAUGUGCGGGGUGUGCGAGUCCCCUUUGAUGCCCACACGAUUAAUAAAUUCUUGGGGACUACACUACGACCUGAUGAGCAAUGUGAGUAUGGGCAAUUUGAAGGCGGGGCAAUAGCGGUCGAGGUGGCAGAGGCUACGAUGUGCAUGCCGGGUACUAGCUUUCAUAGGAACCGGGCUCAACAACCCUUGCACGUGAAGCGUCGUGAUCUACUCCCUGUGGCGAGGAUUUGGUCAGCGUUGAUCCAUGCCAACAUCCUCCCCUGCUCGCAUGUCUCUGACCUACAUUGGAGUCGGGCUAUGCUGAUGCAUUGCAUUAUGACCGGGCGGACCGUGGACAUUGGCUUCAUUAUCUGCGUGGAGAUUUCUAACUGCGCCAAUGCAUCACCCUCCGCAGCCCUUGGACAUCCCUCCCUAAUCACUCAGUUAUGUCAACUUGCUGGUGUGGAUGUCCAUGCACCACCAUUUGAGGGUCCUGGCCGGGCGAUUGAUAAUCGUUACAUCUCUACUUAUUGCCAGGAUCGUUUGCCACCUGCUGUUGUGCCGGAGCCCAUUCACGUUGCUGGACCCCAAGAGGACAUGCCCAUGGAUGAUGCUCCUGCACCGGACCCUCCACUCACUUUCCAUCAGCGUUUUGACGCUCUUGAGGGUCGGUUGGACACUUUAAUGCUGCAACAGGAGUCCCUCCACCGCGGCCAGCUCUUCCUUCUGGAUGUCUUUCGGAGUUUUGCUCUACACUCCGCGACCGCUCCCAGCUACCAGUUCCCUUCUGUUGCGGAUUAUCAUGCCUAUACUGGUUGGCUUGGGGACCAAGACCCUUUCUUUAGGGGGGGUGGAGCUGCUGCUAAUGAUGUUGAUGGUGUGGAUGAGGGUGGAGCAGACCCCGGAAAUGAUGAUGAACAGGCUCCAUAGACGGAUGCAAAUGGAGUCUACCUUAGUUCACCUUUAUGUCUAUUGUAGUUUAUUUUUGUCUUUUAUUUUCAGUGAUUUAGCUUUGAUUUAGUUGUUCUUGUUUCAAACUUUGUGGUUAGAUUUAGUGUUUUUGUGAUUAUUCUGGUUGGUUUACUUUUUGUGACUAUUCUGCUUAUAGCACGGUUAUUGAUCUUAUUCGUACUUGCUGUGUUGUGGCCAAUUCUGGAUUGUGGUUUGCUUGAUGUUUGUGGUGCACGUACUUUAGACAUUUUUGGUUCACGUUAGAACUUUAGUUCAUGACUAGUUGCAUACGGGUUUCAAUGUUGAUCAUAGUACUAAGCCAAGUUUGAUAAUCUUUGGAUGUAUAGUCGGGUGAGGUUUUGAGGCCCUGAAUGCUGAUGAGUGAACUACGCUUAAGUUGCAUGAUAGGCUUUGCUUGAGUUUCCGUGGUGGUUUGCUAAUGUUGUGCAUUUAUAUUAUCAAGACAUUCAUAUUUUCUUGUUUUGCUAACCAUCUAAGCCAAAGAGCCACCUCCACAUUUCACUUGACCCAUAACUUCCUAAGCCUAAACACCACACCUUUUACUUAUCCCAAAUUGUGAAAAAUUAACUAUAUCUCUUGCUUUGGUUAAGAGAGUAAUUGAUGACACGAAACAAGUUUGGGAGAGUUGAAGAAUAAGGGUUUCUGGGAAAAGGGAAGUAUAUGGUCAUUGUUUCAAAAAAAAAAAUAGAGAAAACAAAACAAAAAUAUAAGGAUGCAAAAAUGAAAAUAUGCAUCACAUAAAGGCUAGGGGCUUGGGUCUAGUUAAGGGCAUGUUCUAAAAUGUUGUAUUGGGUUAGGGAGAGGGAUAUCAUUGUAAAAAUAUCAAUUGCUCUCUUAAGCAUAGCACUUUUAAUCCUUGACAAAUUAUGAGAUUGCUAUUGCUUGACCCAAACUGCCCUAAUAAAGACUUUGUGAUAAGUGCCUGCAUUAGCAUUAUCAUUGAUUCCAUUUGGAAACAGAGAGCAAAGUUGAAUUAUGUGGUGUGAGUAGUAGAUUUGAGAUAAACACUCACCCCGAUACACCAGUGUGCACAGAGAGAAACACCUCCCUAGUGAGGAUGCAUUCAUGGAUGAUCAUUAACUUUCCUUAGCCCUUUAAUCUCUUUUGAAACCUUUGUUUGCACCUUGUCAUGUUCUAUUGCAAUAAUUGUGACUGAAAGUUCAUCUAAGGUCGUGCAAAGAAAAUCCAAGUAAGCUAGAAUUUAGGAAUUUGACAUACAUGCAUUACUUGGUAUCUGCCAGAUCAAUUACCUGUUGUUUGAGGGCAAGCAAGGUUUUAAGUUUGGGGGAGUUGUUAAGUCUCAAUUACACUUCUUUUUAGAUAGGGAUUAUUGAACAAUUUCACUCGCUCCAUGCACUCUUGUAAUACAAAUGUUCUCUUUUGAUUCAAUUUUGUGCAGAUAUAGCUAACCCAAAAAUCAUCUGACAAUACCUUGAUACACCUCAUUUUUUGUGUAAGUAUUGAGUUGAAGAGUGAGGUUGAAGACCCAUAGGAUUGAAAAUCUAAGGAGCUAAGGAGCAGGAGAAGAGUAUCCACGCCAGACGCAAGACUACCCGAGCCGAGCGUGUACAACACAGAGAGCAACUUACUUUGCAUUUUAGUAGGGUGUUGGGCACAAGAACAUCCGCGCCGGGCGUAGCUCACGACAAAGAGUACUUGAACUCUCUAGAAGACACGCGUCGGGCAUAAUAGUGCCCGAGUUGGGAACCAAUCGAGACAUAGAGCUCUCUGGAAGACCUUGAGCCGAGCGCCAAAUAUCCAUGCCGGGCGUGAUGGGAGACAGAGAACAAUUACCUCUCUAGAAGACCCCUGUGUCGAGCGCAAGGUAUAAUGCGUCGGGUGUGUAAACCCUAUCCUGUCUCACCUAGCUCAUAUUUGAUCAAAUCUUCGAGGAUCCUCCCCUCAUUCACAUAUUGGGCAACUUCUAGGAGCUGUGGAAGGGACUCCCGGUGCUUGGGACCGUUCAUGUUCUUCAGUUUUCUCUUGUAUGCAAAGUACUAUUCGAACCAGAGGGACCAAAUCUUCUGAGCCGCUAUUGAGCGAUCCUAAGAUUGAACGCACGGCAAGAAGGAAUAAUAGCAACAAGAGGAGAAGGAGAAAUAGAGCAAAUCCAGUUGGUCAACCAACCACUCAUAUUCCUGAAGUUUUUGUCUCUACUAUUCCAGAGUUCACUGUGGAAGGUGGAGGUGAAGGUGGUCCUCACAAUGACAAUCCGAAUCGGAGGCGCACUAUAGGUGAUGCUUUCAUCUACACUAGCCCGAGGGAAUUCUCUAGCAUGGUAAGGCCCACAAUGAAUGAGAGACUAGCGGAAAUGAAGCCCGCACUCCUACAGCUCAUUAGCUCUCAUCAAUUUUUUGGCCUGGAUCAUGAAGACCCACAUACUUAUCUCUACAUUUUCUAUGAGUUGUGUGGUUCAGUUGGAGUUUCAGGGGCUGAUGAAGAGGCAUUGUUCAUGAGGUUGUUUCCGUUCUCCCUAAAUGGGAAGGCUAAGGCUUGGCUUCAUUCUCAACCAAACCAAAGCUUAACCACUUGGAGGGAUGUGGAGACUAAAUUCUUAGCCAGGUUCUUUCCCCUUUCCAAGAACACUGAGGCCAAAACUGCUAUUGCUACCUUUGCUCAAGGUGCAGAUGAGCCAUUAUGUGAAGAAUGGGAGAUGUACAAAUCACUGUUGAGGAGAUGCCCUAAUCAUGAUUUUGAGGUGGAGCUACAAGUUCAAACUUUCUGUAAUGGGUUACAACCUCAAACCAAGAUGAUAUUAGAUGCUUCUUUUAGAGGGUCAGUUAUGUUCAAAAUCGCCGAAGAGGCUAUCACCAUCAUUGAGUCUAUGGCCUCCACAGAUUUCAGGAGCCAACAUGGUAGAAGCUCUUCACACAAGAGGGGAGUUUUGGAGUUGAGUACUCAAGAUGCAGUGUUAGCUCAAAACAAGUUACUUUCUCAACAAAUUGAAGCAUUGAAUCAAUAGAUGGCCAAGUUACCUCAGCAACUUCAAGCUAUGCAAGCUAAUGCCCAUCCUAUGCAACAAGUGUUAUUAUGUGAUUUUUGUGGAGGUGACCACCCUAAUGGUUAUUGUGUCGAACCACCUAGUUCCCAAGGUGAAGAAGUGAAUUAUAUGGGGAAUCAACACUACUACAAAAAGGAUAAUCUAAGUCGCCCAAUCUAAGACGGUUUAUUAAAAAUUGAUGUAGAAUAAGACGCGGUGGCAUUUUUGUAAAUAAAAGGAACAUUAUAUACGACGGUUUAGUGAAUACCCGUAGUAGAAUAGCCUACACAAAUAUAU